rnacentral:rRNA from 1 species
UACGUAGGGGCAAGCGUUGUCCGGAUUUAUUGGGCGUAAAGAGCGUGUAGGCGGCCAGGUAGGUCAGCUGUGAAAACUCGAGGCUCAACCUCGAGACGCCGGUUGAAACCAUCUGGCUAGAGUCCGGAAGAGGAGAGUGGAAUUCCUGGUGUAGCGGUGAAAUGCGCAGAUAUCAGGAAGAACACCCGUGGCUAAGGCGGCUCUCUAGUACGGUACUGACGCUGAGACGCGAAAGCGUGGGGAGCGAACAGG